AUCUCCCUGUGGCUCCAGUGUGACCGUCUGUCCUGUCUUUUCAUUUCCUGCAUCAGCAACCCCCCCCCCCCCCCCACCGCCCCCAGCGGGUCUGGGCUGCCUCUCCCCGUGUCCUCACUAGCACCAGGGGAGGCAAUGGUUAGUGCAGCUGACAGGUGACCAGCUCUGGUGGGGCGCAGACCUGACCUUCCUGGCCCCCUGGUCGUGGGGCAGGACCCGACAGCUAGUUCUGGCCCGUGAGCGGGAGUGAGUACGUCGUUCCUGGGUUGGGGCAUUGAAUAGCCUGUGUGUGACUUUCUAGAAUCCCCCGCUGAAGUAAUUACAGAAGCAGAAGUGAAUUUGGAGCCCCCCCAUAGGCUCAGACCCCCGAGUGGCUGGAGGGACCAGAAUGUCCCUGCCCACCUGCAAAGUCAUGGAGCAGGAGGGAGAAAUAAGUCCGUUUUGAGCCUGAGGUUGGUAAGCCACGGCCUGCAGUCCAAAUCUGGCUCGCUACCUGUUCUUUAAAUGAGGUUUGCCUUGGGGCGCCUGGGUGGCGCAGUCGGUUAAGCGUCCGACUUCAGCCAGGUCACGAUCUCGCGGUCCGGGAGUUCGAGCCCCGCGUCGGGCUCUGGGCUGAUGGCUCAGAGCCUGGAGCCUGUUUCCGAUUCUGUGUCUCCCUCUCUCUCUGCCCCUCCCCCAUUCAUGCUCUGUCUCUCUCUGUCCCAAAAAUAAAUAAACGUUGAAAAAAUAAUAAUAAUAAUAAA